CUCGUUUUAGGUGGGUACCUUUCUACUGCCUUUCUCGGUUCCACCUUCCUCUCCGAGAAACAUGCGGCGGUGGAGGCCGGUUUCCCUCCUUUUUUUUAGAACGUCCGUCACCUUCUUUACUUGACACGUAGUCUGCUUGACCACACAUGUUUCUCCCCAUUCAUCUUUUUCUUACAACAACUAUGUGGUUGUAGAAUGGUGACUGCGCAUGUGUGCAACACUGUUAUGUAUCCAGUACUCUACUUACACGAGAUGUAGAAUUGAUGAUA
rnacentral:lncRNA from 1 species